AUGAACGCUAGCGGCAGGCUUAACACAUGCAAGUCGAGGGGCAGCAUAAUGGAUAGCAAUAUCUAUGGUGGCGACCGGCGCACGGGUGCGUAACGCGUAUGCAACCUACCUUUAACAGGGGGAUAACACUGAGAAAUUGGUACUAAUACCCCAUAAUAUCAUAGAAGGCAUCUUUUAUGGUUGAAAAUUCCGAUGGUUAGAGAUGGGCAUGCGUUGUAUUAGCUAGUUGGUGGGGUAACGGCUCACCAAGGCGACGAUACAUAGGGGGACUGAGAGGUUAACCCCCCACACUGGUACUGAGACACGGACCAGACUCCUACGGGAGGCAGCAGUGAGGAAUAUUGGUCAAUGGACGCAAGUCUGAACCAGCCAUGCCGCGUGCAGGAUGACGGCUCUAUGAGUUGUAAACUGCUUUUGUACGAGGGUAAACGCAGAUACGUGUAUCUGUCUGAAAGUAUCGUACGAAUAAGGAUCGGCUAACUCCGUGCCAGCAGCCGCGGUAAUACGGAGGAUUCAAGCGUUAUCCGGAUUUAUUGGGUUUAAAGGGUGCGUAGGCGGUUUGAUAAGUUAGAGGUGAAAUUUCGGGGCUCAACCCUGAACGUGCCUCUAAUACUGUUGAGCUAGAGAGUAGUUGCGGUAGGCGGAAUGUAUGGUGUAGCGGUGAAAUGCUUAGAGAUCAUACAGAACACCGAUUGCGAAGGCAGCUUACCAAACUAUAUCUGACGUUGAGGCACGAAAGCGUGGGGAGCAAACAGGAUUAGAUACCCUGGUAGUCCACGCAGUAAACGAUGAUAACUCGUUGUCGGCGAUACACAGUCGGUGACUAAGCGAAAGCGAUAAGUUAUCCACCUGGGGAGUACGUUCGCAAGAAUGAAACUCAAAGGAAUUGACGGGGGCCCGCACAAGCGGAGGAACAUGUGGUUUAAUUCGAUGAUACGCGAGGAACCUUACCCGGGCUUGAAUUGCAACUGAAUGAUGUGGAGACAUGUCAGCCGCAAGGCAGUUGUGAAGGUGCUGCAUGGUUGUCGUCAGCUCGUGCCGUGAGGUGUCGGGUUAAGUCCCAUAACGAGCGCAACCCCUACCGUUAGUUGCCAUCAGGUCAAGCUGGGCACUCUGGCGGGACUGCCGGUGUAAGCCGAGAGGAAGGUGGGGAUGACGUCAAAUCAGCACGGCCCUUACGUCCGGGGCUACACACGUGUUACAAUGGUAGGUACAGAGGGCAGCUACCCAGCGAUGGGAUGCGAAUCUCGAAAGCCUAUCUCAGUUCGGAUUGGAGGCUGAAACCCGCCUCCAUGAAGUUGGAUUCGCUAGUAAUCGCGCAUCAGCCAUGGCGCGGUGAAUACGUUCCCGGGCCUUGUACACACCGCCCGUCAAGCCAUGGGAGCCGGGGGUGCCUGAAGUUCGUGACCGCAAGGAGCGACCUAGGGCAAAACUGGUGACUGGGGCU
rnacentral:rRNA from 1 species